CCCGAACCCGGAAGUUAAGCCCUUCAGCGCCGAUGGUACUGCAUGGGAGACUGUGUGGGAGAGUAGGACGCCGCCGGAC
rnacentral:rRNA from 1 species